rnacentral:tRNA from 1 species
GUGGCUCAGUGGUAGAGUGCAUGCCUUGCAUGCAUGAGGCCCUGGGUUUGAUUCCUGAAUACACA